rnacentral:rRNA from 1 species
GGGGACAACAGUUGGAAACGACUGCUAAUACCGCAUAACGUCUACGGACCAAAGGGGGCUUCGGCUCUCGCCCUUAGAUUAGCCCAAGUGGGAUUAGCUAGUUGGUGAGGUAAUGGCUCACCAAGGCGACGAUCCCUAGCUGGUUUGAGAGGAUGAUCAGCCACACUGGAACUGAGACACGGUCCAGACUCCUACGGGAGGCAGCAGUGGGGAAUAUUGCACAAUGGGCGCAAGCCUGAUGCAGCCAUGCCGCGUGUGUGAAGAAGGCCUUAGGGUUGUAAAGCACUUUCAGUAAGGAGGAAAGGUUAGUAGUUAAUACCUGCUAGCUGUGACGUUACUUACAGAAGAAGCACCGGCUAACUCCGUGCCAGCAGCCGCGGUAAUACGGAGGGUGCGAGCGUUAAUCGGAAUUACUGGGCGUAAAGCGUACGCAGGCGGUUUGUUAAGCGAGAUGUGAAAGCCCCGGGCUCAACCUGGGAACUGCAUUUCGAACUGGCAAACUAGAGUAUGAUAGAGGGUGGUAGAAUUUCAGGUGUAGCGGUGAAAUGCGUAGAGAUCUGAAGGAAUACCGAUGGCGAAGGCAGCCACCUGGGUCAAUACUGACGCUCAUGUACGAAAGCGUGGGGAGCAAACGGGAUUAGAUACCCCGGUAGUCCACGCCGUAAACGAUGUCUACUAGGAGCUGGGGUCUUCGGAACAC